rnacentral:rRNA from 1 species
CGUUAUCCGGAAUCAUUGGGCGUAAAGCGCCUGUAGGUUGUUAAAAAAGUCUGUUGUUAAAGACUAGGGCUCAACCCUAGAAAAGCAAUGGAAACUAAUAGACUAGAGUAUGGCAGGGGUAGAGGGAAUUUCUAGUGUAGCGGUGAAAUGCGUAGAUAUUAGAAAGAACACCGGUGGCGAAAGCGCUCUACUGGACCAUUACUGACACUCAGAGGCGAAAGCUAGGGUAGCAAAAGGGAUUAGAUACCCCUGUAGUCCUAGCCGUAAACGAUGGAUACUAGAUGUUGUGCAUUAUGUACAGUAUCGUAGCUAACGCGUUAAGUAUCCCGCCUGGGGAGUACGCUCGCAAGGGUGAAACUCAAAGGAAUUGACGGGGGCCCGCACAAGCGGUGGAGCAUGUGGUUUAAUUCGAUGCAACGCGAAGAACCUUACCAGGGCUUGACAUACUACGAAUUCUUUUGAAAGAGAGAAGUGCCUUCGGGAAUGUAGAUACAGGUGGUGCAUGGCUGUCGUCAGCUCGUGUCGUGAGAUGUUGGGUUAAGUCCCGCAACGAGCGCAACCCUUAUUUUUAGUUACUAAUUCGUUAGGUUCUCUAGAAAGACUGCCGGUGACAAACCGGAGGAAGGUGAGGAUGACGUCAAGUCAGCAUGCCCCUUAUGUCCUGGGCUACACACGUGCUACAAUGGUUAAGACAAAGAG